GAUGAAGAACGCAGCGAAAUGCGAUACGUAAUGUGAAUUGCAGAAUUCAGUGAAUCAUCGAAUCUUUGAACGCACAUUGCGCCCGCCAGCACUCUGGCGGGCAUGCCUGUUCGAGCGUCAUUUCAACCAUCAAGCCCCAGGCUUGCGUUGGAGCCCUGCGGCUGCCGCAGCCUCCUAAAAGCAGUGGCGGGCUCGCUAUCACACCGAGUGCAGUAGAUUACUCUUCGCUCAGGGCGUGCAGCGGGUUCCGGCCGUGAAACCCCCCACUGUAACCCCAAAGGUUGACCUCGGAUCAGGUAGGAAUACCCGCUGAACUUAAGCAUAUCAAUAAGCGGAGGA
rnacentral:misc_RNA from 1 species